GGUGAAAUUAUGUAUGCAUUGAGGGAUGGAGCUGCUCAUGUUCUUCGCUGCAUGAAAGUCUGGUAUGAUCUUCCUUAUGCAGUUCUUCUGGAUGCUCUCAACAUGAUGGACUGGUUCAUGAGCCGCAUGAAAGCACUCCUAAACACCUCUCAUGCAUAGCAAUCAGCUCCUUCCAUCUAGCAGCUUGCCAAUGGGUGGAGAGGAUUAAACAGAACAACAUUGAGGUAUCUUCCAUUCAGAGUCCAAUGUAGAUUGUUCCUGAACCUCAAUAUCUGGUAACGAUAUCUUAAUGUAAAUGUAGAAUGUACCGCCGGAGACAUCAACCGGAUGGAAAAAAUUGUCGAAGCCAAGAUAGCUCGUCUACCCCAAGAAGAACCGGUCACGACCUUAACAUUCCUCAACCUCUAUCACUCACUUCUCUCGACGACUUUACCUGCCGCUCUUCAGCAAGACCUUCUUAUUCUUUCAUGCAAGCAGGAGACCAUUUGCUGUGACGCAAAAUAAUGCUGCCUUUCCCUCAUCUCUUUUGACUUUCGUCCUACUGUUUGUCGAAAUAAAGUGUCACCAGCAGGCCAUCGAGGUUAUUAUCAGAGACGUUUUACUAGAACUUCAGCGACUUGUUCAGGUCAAAGAUGACUAGUUGAAGGAGUGUAUAAGAAUGGUCACUUCGGCAAUGGCACCUUCCGAUGGCUAUGCCCAAAGCAAUCCGUCUCAUCGUCAACGACUUACCUGGAAGUUGUCCUUUUUCUACUAUUUAUUUGCCUUCUAAACCAUUUAUAAUAAGUUUUGCCUUUAGUAAAGCAAAAUGCCUAGCUUUUUAAAGUCCUAUACCAAUUACUUGUUGAGCCUGUGUAAAUUCGAGUCUCAGUGAUACAUGAUUACCACUCUUAACAAGAAAACUAUAUAUUUCUUUACUCACUACAUCAGAAGUUUCUCUAAGUGUGCAGUCGAAAAUUUUAGUCAAAAUUCCCUUCAUAGAUAAGAGAAAUAGAGCCGUAAUUUCAUCCUAUAAACGUUCAAUUAAUCUAUCAAAAAUCUUAUCUUGUUUAGGGUGGUUAUUAACCUUAUAUGUUAUUUAUAUAAAUUUAAAUACUAUAAAUAAUGGUUCGAAAUUAACUGAAAAAAGACUUCUGUAAUUUUACGUAAUUUCGAUGUUACGUCAUGACGUCAUACGUCGACUAUGACUUGAUAACCACCCGAAUCAGUAAGUAUCGGCUUUGACCUAUUCAUGAACUUAUGUAGCCCACAAUUAUAAAAACAAAAUCACCUGUCCUAUUUACAAUAAAUGCUUGAAUUGCCGCUUUA